CCUUUCGGGGAGUGCAUAAAGUGGCGCACGGGUGAGUAACACGUAAGUAAUCUGCCCUCGAGUGGGGAACAACGUCCGGAAACGGACGCUAAUACCGCAUAAUGCAGCGGCACCGCAAGGUGACAGUUGUUAAAGGAGAAAUCCGCUUGAGGAGGAGCUUGCGGCAGAUUAGCUUGUUGGUAAGGUAACGGCUUACCAAGGCUACGAUCUGUAACCGGUCUAAGAGGACAGUCGGUCACACUGACACUGAAUAACGGGUCAGACUCCUACGGGAGGCAGCAGUCGGGAAUUUUGGGCAAUGGGCGAAAGCCUGACCCAGCAACGCCGCGUGAAGGAUGAAGUAUUUCGGUAUGUAAACUUCGAAAGAAUGGGAAGAAUCAAUGACGGUACCAUUUAUAAGGUCCGGCUAACUACGUGCCAGCAGCCGCGGUAAUACGUAGGGACCAAGCGUUGUUCGGAUUUACUGGGCGUAAAGGGCGCGUAGGCGGCAAUUCAAGUCAUCUGUGAAAUCUCCGGGCUUAACCCGGAACGGUCAGGUGAUACUGUUUUGCUAGAGUGCGGAAGGGGCAAUCGGAAUUCUCGGUGUAGCGGUGAAAUGCGUAGAUAUCGAGAGGAACACCUGAGGUGAAGACNGGUUGCUGGGCCGACACUGACGCUGACAGCGCGAAAGCCAGGGGAGCAAACGGGAUUAGAUACCCCGGUAGUCCUGGCCCUAAACG
rnacentral:rRNA from 1 species